rnacentral:rRNA from 1 species
UACGAAGGGGGCUAGCGUUGUUCGGAAUCACUGGGCGUAAAGGGCGUGUAGGCGGCUUUGUAAGUCGGGGGUGAAAGCCUGUGGCUCAACCACAGAAUUGCCUUCGAUACUGCAUGGCUUGAGACCGGAAGAGGUUAGUGGAACUGCGAGUGUAGAGGUGAAAUGCGUAGAUAUUCGCAAGAACACCAGUGGCGAAGGCGGCUGACUGGUCCGGUUCUGACGCUGAGGCGCGAAAGCGUGGGGAGCAAACAGG